ACUCCUACGGGAGGCAGCAGUGGGGAAUUUUGGACAAUGGGCGCAAGCCUGAUCCAGCCAUUCCGCGUGAGUGAAGAAGGCCUUCGGGUUGUAAAGCUCUUUCGGCAGGGACGAAAAGGAGGGGGCUAAUACCCGGGGCUAAUGACGGUACCUGAAGAAGAAGCACCGGCUAACUACGUGCCAGCAGCCGCGGUAAU
rnacentral:rRNA from 1 species